rnacentral:rRNA from 1 species
AGAGUUUGAUCCUGGCUCAGGACGAACGCUGGCGGCAUGCCUAAUACAUGCAAGUCGAACGCUGAAGCACUCUGCUUGCAGAGUGCGGAUGAGUGGCGAACGGGUGAGUAACACGUGGGAAAUCUGCCUAGGAGUGGGGGAUAACAUUCGGAAACGGAUGCUAAUACCGCAUAUCUUUUUGAACCGCAUGGUUCUUAAACGAAAGACGGCUUCGGCUGUCGCUCUUAGAUGAUCCCGCGGCGUAUUAGUUAGUUGGUGGGGUAAAGGCCUACCAAGACCAUGAUACGUAGCCGACCUGAGAGGGUGAUCGGCCACACUGGGACUGAGACACGGCCCAGACUCCUACGGGAGGCAGCAGUAGGGAAUCUUCCACAAUGGGUGAAAACCUGAUGGAGCAAUGCCGCGUGAAUGAAGAAGGUCUUCGGAUCGUAAAGUUCUGUUAUUAGAGAAGAACAAGUCAAGGAGUAACUGUCUUGACUUUGACGGUACCUAACCAGAAAGUCACGGCUAACUACGUGCCAGCAGCCGCGGUAAUACGUAGGUGACAAGCGUUGUCCGGAAUUAUUGGGCGUAAAGGGAGUGCAGGCGGUUGGAAUAGUCUGAUGUGAAACCCCCGGCUUACCCGUGGAAGGUCAUUGGAAACUGUCCAACUUGAAUACAGAAGAGGUAAGUGGAAUUCCAGGUGUAGCGGUGAAAUGCGUAAAUAUAUGGGAAGAACACCAGUGGGCGAAGGCGACUUACUUGGUCUGGGAUUGACGCUGAGGGCUCCAAAGCCGGGGGUUAACCAAAAAAGAAUUAAAAAACCCUGGG